GCCACAGCAGCGCUCCUUUUCGUUUUUUCACCCUUUGGUCUCUGUGAUAGUGUCGGAGCUCAGAAGAUUUAAUUGACCUUGUAAGCAAAGUUUAACAAACCCACAGCCAUAAGUGUCAAAACAAAGCGCUAGUUGAACCUUAGUUUUUAGUCUUUAGUUAAAACGUGUGACUCUGUUUGCUGCAGUGUAACGUUAGUUUUGUCCGGACAGGCCUCAGGCAGCCACGUGGAGAGGACUGAAAGAUGAGGAAGAGAAAAGAUAAAAGUGAACUUCAGUCUGGCAGCUCUUUACAUGAGUUCAUUACGUCUCCUCGUGUCCCUGGGAGGAGGUCAGAAUGUGUGUUGAAGAUGAUGGAGAAUAAAGACUGAGCUCUAAACACAAACAUGUGAGCUGCCAGAAGAGACGUUGUCAGGGAAAUACACCUGUUGAUGACCAGCUGUUUAAACAAUGGUUCCCCUGCAGCAAUGAGUAUCCUCCCUACUACACAGACUGACUCAAGACGAUCCAUUUUAUGCAGGUUGAGCUGAUUCCUUUUUGAAAGAAGAUAAUUCAUCUCAUGGCAUACAGCUGCAACAACACCUUUGACAUGGUCCUGGUGUCACUCUGUCAAGCUUACUCUGUCCCCCGAGGUCUGCUGUCAAGAAUCUGACAGAAUUUGAUCUGAGCAGUUGCAGUGAAUCCACCUCUGAAUGCCUGCAAGUUUCACAUGAUAACAAGAGGAGUCAUGGAAACUGGAGACUCUGAAAAUGGAUGUGUCUGUGCUUGUUCAAAAUCAUGACACCAUGUAAAAAUGUAUUUAAUGCUUCUUAAAUAAAUAUUGCAUCAAUAUUUAAA